ensembl:misc_RNA Metazoa_SRP Metazoan signal recognition particle RNA
GCUGGGUGUGGUGGCACGUACCUGUAAUCCCAGCUAUUGGGAGGCUGAGGUGGGAGGAUUGCUUGAACCUGGGAGGUCAAGCCUGCAGUGAGCCAUGAUCAUGCCACUGCACUCUGGCCUGGGCAACAGAGUGAGACCCUGUCUCCU